AACGAACGCUGGCGGCGUGGAUAAGACAUGCAAGUCGAACGAAAAACAAGCCUAGCUUGCUAAGCUUGUUUUUAGUGGCGCACGGGUGAGUAACACGUGAGUUACCUGCCCCCAAGAGUGGGAUAGCCCCGGGAAACUGGGAUUAAUACCGCAUAAUAUCGCAAGAUUAAAGGUGCAAACCGCUUGGGGAUGGGCUCGCGGCCUAUUAGUUAGUUGGUGAGGUAACGGCUCACCAAGGCGAUGACGGGUAGCCGGUCUGAGAGGAUGUCCGGCCACACUGGAACUGAGACACGGUCCAGACACCUACGGGUGGCAGCAGUCGAGAAUCAUUCACAAUGGGGGAAACCCUGAUGGUGCGACGCCGCGUGGGGGAGCGAAGGUCUUCGGAUUGUAAACCCCUGUCAAGUGGGAGCAAAUUAAAAAGAUAGUACCACUAGAGGAAGAGACGGCUAACUCUGUGCCAGCCGCCGC
rnacentral:rRNA from 1 species